rnacentral:rRNA from 1 species
GCAGCCAUCCUUUAAAGAAAGCGUAAUAGCUCACUGGUCUAGUGAUUUUGCGCGGAAAAUAUAACGGGGCUAAAGUAAGUACCGAAGCUGUAGACUUGCACACAACUUAGAUUAUUUAAGUUUAGAAUAAGUAGUUUAAGUUGUGUGCAAGUGGUAGGAGAGCGUUCUAUUUGCGUCGAAGGUAUACCGGUAAGGAGUGCUGGAGCGAAUAGAAGUGAGCAUGCAGGCAUGAGUAGCGAUAAUUAAUGUGAGAAUCAUUAACGCCGUAAACCCAAGGUUUCCUACGCGAUGCUCGUCAUCGUAGGGUUAGUCGGGUCCUAAGUCGAGUCCGAAAGGGGUAGACGAUGGCAAAUUGGUUAAUAUUCCAAUACCAACAUUAGUGUGCGAUGGAAGGACGCUUAGGGCUAAGGGGGCUAGCGGAUGGAAGUGCUAGUCUAAGGUUGUAGGAGGUUAUACAGGCAAAUCCGUAUAACAAUACUCCGAGAACUGAAAGGCUUUUUGAAGUCUUCGGAUGGAUAGAAGAACCCCUGAUGCCGUCGAGCCAAGAAAAGUUUCUAAGUUUAGCUAAUGUUGCCCGUACCGUAAACCGACACAGGUGGGUGGGAUGAGUAUUCUAAGGCGCGUGGAAGAACUCUCUUUAAGGAACUCUGCAAAAUAGCACCGUAUCUUCGGUAUAAGGUGUGGUUCGCUUCGUAUUAGGAUUUACUCCGAAAGCGAAGAAACUUACAACAAAGAGUCCCUCCCGACUGUUUACCAAAAACACAGCACUCUGCUAACUCGUAAGAGGAUGUAUAGGGUGUGACGCCUGCCCGGUGCUCGAAGGUUAAUUGAUGGGGUUAGCAUUAGCGAAGCUCUUGAUCGAAGCCCGAGUAAACGGCGGCCGUAACUAUAACGGUCCUAAGGUAGCGAAAUUCCUUGUCGGUUAAAUACCGACCUGCAUGAAUGGCGUAACGAGAUGGGAGCUGUCUCAAAGAGGGAUCCAGUGAAAUUGUAGUGGAGGUGAAAAUUCCUCCUACCCGCGGCAAGACGGAAAGACCCCGUGGACCUUUACUACAGCUUGACACUGCUACUUGGAUAAGAAUGUGCAGGAUAGGUGGGAGGCUUUGAGUAUAUGACGCCAGUUGUAUAUGAGCCAUUGUUGAGAUACCACUCUUUCUUAUUUGGGUAGCUAACCAGCUUGAGUUAUCCUCAAGUGGGACAAUGUCUGGUGGGUAGUUUGACUGGGGCGGUCGCCUCCCAAAUAAUAACGGAGGCUUACAAAGGUUGGCUCAGAACGGUUGGAAAUCGUUCGUAGAGUAUAAAGGUAUAAGCCAGCUUAACUGCAAGACAUACAAGUCAAGCAGAGACGAAAGUCGGUCUUAGUGAUCCGGUGGUUCUGUGUGGAAGGGCCAUCGCUCAAAGGAUAAAAGGUACCCCGGGGAUAACAGGCUGAUCUCCCCCAAGAGCUCACAUCGACGGGGAGGUUUGGCACCUCGAUGUCGGCUCAUCGCAUCCUGGGGCUGGAGCAGGUCCCAAGGGUAUGGCUGUUCGCCAUUUAAAGCGGUACGCGAGCUGGGUUCAGAACGUCGUGAGACAGUUCGGUCCCUAUCUGCCGUGGGCGUAAGAAGAUUGAAGAGAUUUGACCCUAGUACGAGAGGACCGGGUUGAACAAACCACUGGUGUAGCUGUUGUUCUGCCAAGAGCAUCGCAGCGUAGCUAAGUUUGGAAAGGAUAAACGCUGAAAGCAUCUAAGCGUGAAGCCAACUCUAAGAUGAAUCUUCUCUAAGCUCUCUAGAAGACUACUAGUUUGAUAGGCUGGGUGUGUAAUGGAUGAAAGUCCUUUAGCUGACCAGUACUAAUAGAGCGUUUGGCUUAUCUUU